UUUGAGUGGGACCAAGAAGAGCAUACAAAGCUGAAAUGUUCUCCAGAAGUUGAUUUCCAAUGGGGAUAAACAUUCCAGUUGGCUUUUGAGUGGAUACUUGCAGUGAGAGCAUUGACACUGGAAACACUAGUUCCCAUUUUAAUUACUUAAAACACCACGAUGAAAAGAAAUACCUGUGAUUUGCUUUCUCGGAGCAAAAGUGCCUCUGAGGAAACACUACAUUCCAGUAAUGAAGAGGAAGACCCUUUCCGUGGAAUGGAACCCUAUCUUGUCCGGAGACUUUCAUGUCGCAAUAUUCAGCUUCCCCCUCUCGCCUUCAGACAGUUGGAACAAGCUGACUUGAAAAGUGAAUCAGAGAACAUUCAACGACCAACCAGCCUCCCCCUGAAGAUUCUGCCGCUGAUUGCUAUCACUUCUGCAGAAUCCAGUGGGUGAGUGCCCUCAGAUGUCAUUUCCCCAUUUUAUAUUUUAGAUGGUGAUUGUUGUCUGUGGUCUUUUGAGUUUUUGUGGCUCAUUGCUUGAUUUGAGUGGGAGAACAAUGGGGUUUCUAGAGUCAAA
rnacentral:sRNA from 1 species